rnacentral:rRNA from 1 species
ACUCCUGCGGGAGGCAGCAGUGGGGAAUAUUGGACAAUGGGCGCAAGCCUGAUCCAGCCAUGCCGCGUGAGUGAUGAAGGCCCUAGGGUUGUAAAGCUCUUUCACCGGAGAAGAUAAUGACGGUAUCCGGAGAAGAAGCCCCGGCUAACUUCGUGCCAGCAGCCGCGGUAAUACGAAGGGGGCUAGCGUUGUUCGGAAUUACUGGGCGUAAAGCGCACGUAGGCGGAUCGAUCAGUCAGGGGUGAAAUCCCAGGGCUCAACCCUGGAACUGCCUUUGAUACUGUCGAUCUGGAGUAUGGAAGAGGUGAGUGGAAUUCCGAGUGUAGAGGUGAAAUUCGUAGAUAUUCGGAGGAACACCAGUGGCGAAGGCGGCUCACUGGUCCAUUACUGACGCUGAGGUGCGAAAGCGUGGGGAGCAAACAGGAUUAGAAACCCGGGUAGUCCCA